rnacentral:rRNA from 1 species
UACGGAGGGUGCAAGCGUUAUCCGGAUUUAUUGGGUUUAAAGGGUGCGUAGGCGGACUUAUAAGUCAGUGGUGAAAGCCUGUCGCUUAACGAUAGAACUGCCAUUGAUACUGUAAGUCUUGAGUAUAUUUGAGGUAGCUGGAAUAAGUAGUGUAGCGGUGAAAUGCAUAGAUAUUACUUAGAACACCAAUUGCGAAGGCAGGUUACCAAGAUAUAACUGACGCUGAGGGACGAAAGCGUGGGGAGCGAACAGG